rnacentral:rRNA from 1 species
CCUACGGGAGGCAGCAGUGGGGAAUUUUGGACAAUGGGCGAAAGCCUGAUCCAGCAAUGCCGCGUGAGUGAAGAAGGCCUUCGGGUUGUAAAGCUCUUUUGUCAGGGAAGAAACGGUGUGGGCUAAUAUCCUGCACUAAUGACGGUACCUGAAGAAUAAGCACCGGCUAACUACGUGCCAGCAGCCGCGGUAAUACGUAGGGUGCAAGCGUUAAUCGGAAUUACUGGGCGUAAAGCGUGCGCAGGCGGUUUUGUAAGUCUGUCGUGAAAUCCCUGGGCUCAACCUGGGAAUUGCGAUGGAGACUGCAAGGCUAGAAUCUGGCAGAGGGGGGUAGAAUUCCACGUGUAGCAGUGAAAUGCGUAGAGAUGUGGAGGAACACCGAUGGCGAAGGCAGCCCCCUGGGUCAAGAUUGACGCUCAUGCACGAAAGCGUGGGGAGCAAACAGGAUUAGAUACCCUGGUAGUCCACGCCCUAAACGAUGUCUACUAGUUGUCGGGUUUUAAUUAACUUGGUAACGCAGCUAACGCGUGAAGUAGACCGCCUGGGGAGUCGGUCGCAAGAUUAAAACUCAAAUGAAUUGACGGCGUGAGAGUAGACGACGGACGACGACGAGGGAGGAGG